rnacentral:lncRNA from 1 species
CACCACUUCUAGAAUAUAUCACAUUUACCUGGCGUUGGUUACGAUUACCCCUUGGAGGGUGAAGGAGGAAUUGAUCAAUUUUUCCUUCACGUGCCAAAGCUUCAAUAUGAUCACGAAGGGUGAUACACUUCUCGCCGUCAUGGCCAUUAUGCUCGUGGUAGCAGCAAAACGUGCCCGUGUUCUUCGUGGGCUUGUAAUCCAGGUGCCUCGGCUUUGGCUUCGGUAUCAAGUGUGCUAUGCUGGGGUAAAUGGCCACGCAU